rnacentral:misc_RNA from 1 species
UACAGGUUCCUUCAUAGGAAG